UACGUAGGUGGCGAGCGUUGUCCGGAAUUACUGGGUGUAAAGGGCGUGUAGGCGGGAAGACAAGUCAGAUGUGAAACCCCACGGCUUAACUGUGGGACUGCAACUGAAACUGUUUUUCUUGAGUACUGGAGAGGGAAGUGGAAUUCCUAGUGUAGCGGUGAAAUGCGUAGAUAUUAGGAGGAACACCAGUGGCGAAGGCGGCUUCCUGGACAGAAACUGACGCUGAGGCGCGAAAGCGUGGGGAGCAAACAGGAUUAGAUACCCUGGUAGUCCCUGA
rnacentral:rRNA from 1 species